CCCUUAGAUGUUCUGGGCCGCACGCGCGCUACACUGACUACUUCAACGAGUUGUUUCCUUGAUCGAAAGGUCUGGGUAAUCUUUGAAAGGUAGUCGUGAUGGGGAUAGAUCCUUGCAAUUUUUGAUCUUCAACGAGGAAUUCCUAGUAAACGCAAGUCAUCAGCUUGCAUUGAUUACGUCCCUGCCCUUUGUACACACCGCCCGUCGCACCUACCGAUUGAAUGGUCCGGUGAAUCUUUAGGACUGUGGCUGAGGCCUUGCCUUGUGCGGGUCUGGCCGUGGGAAUUUAGUUAAACCUUACCAUUUAGAGGAAGGUGGAGUCGUAACA
rnacentral:rRNA from 1 species